rnacentral:lncRNA from 1 species
AGUUGAAAUUUAGCCCAAACGCAAAAGGUAGAUUGAAUAGCCUCUUUCUGUUUUUUUCUUUGGCACAGGUGGUACAUCAAAAUCCAAUCUGCAAAGAUGCAAGAUAUUCAGAAUUCUCUUAUACUCUCUACUAAUUUCAUGAUACAGUCAAAUUCUCACUCCAGCAUUCUAGUGUCUGAAGAAUAUUGUUUUAAAUUGCAGGAGGCCAGGAGCAGUGGCUCAUGCCUGUAAAUCCAGCACUUUGGAAGGCCGAGGCAGGCAGAUCACCUGAGGUCAGGAGUUCGAGGUCAGCCUGACCAACAUGGAAAAACCCCUUCUCUACUAAAAGUACAAAAUUAGCUGUGCGUGGAGGCGCACGCCUGUAAUCCCAACUACUCGGGAGGCUGAGGCAGGAGAAUCGCUUGAACCCGGGAGGCAGAGGUUGCGGUGAACCGAGAUCGUACCAUUGCACUCCAGCCUGGGCAAUAAGAGCGAAACUCUGUCUCAAAAAUAAAUAAAUAAAUAAAUAAAUAAAUAAAUAGUAAUUUUUAUCAGUAUGCCUCAGAUCUUGUAAAAGUCUUUACCACUUUUGUCAAGAGAGAUC